ACUACCAGCGAGGCACCGUGGGUGUUAACGUCUGGUCCAGACUGAAACUUCCACAACAGCUGUUGGAUGGACCGUGAUGACAUGUGGUUCAGACAUUCGUGGUCCCCUCAGGCUGAACUGCGAUGACUCUGCUGAUCCUCUGGCUUUUCCUCUAGCGCCAUCAUCAGAGGUACACGAACCCGAGGGGCACGUCUGCGGGUCCCACCUGUAACACCUGAGCGUCAGCAGCUGCUGAGAAUGAAAUUGGAGACGGGGGCUCGGUUGCUGUGGUUGGUGGAAGAGGAGAGAUGAACCCCGUCCCCCGGAGACGGCGAUCAGACAGCGCAGGCC